CCUACGGGAGGCAGCAGUGAGGAAUAUUGGUCAAUGGACGCAAGUCUGAACCAGCCACGCCGCGUGCAGGAAGACGGCUCUAUGAGUUGUAAACUGCUUUUGUACGGGGGUAAACGCAGAUACGUGUAUCUGUCUGAAAGUACCGUACGAAUAAGGAUCGGCUAACUCCGGUCCAUCAGCCGCGGUAAUACGGAGGAUUCAAGCGUUAUCCGGAUUUCUUGGGUUUAAAGGGUGCGUAGGCGGUCGGAUAAGUUAGAGGUGAAAGUCCGUGGCUCAACCUCGGAAUUGCCGCUGAUACUGGGCGGCUAGAGUGUAGUUGCGGAAGGCGGAAUGUAUGGUGUAGCGGUGAAAUGCUUAGAGAUCAGGCAGAACACCGAUUGCGAAGGCAGCUUACCAGGCUACUACUGACGUUGAGGCACGAAAGCGUGGGGAGCAAACAGGAUUAGAUACCCCAGUAGUC
rnacentral:rRNA from 1 species